rnacentral:lncRNA from 1 species
CUCGUCUGCUGGGCUUCCUUACGUGCUGUAGCUAUAACUCGGCUGUGGUCUCACUGCCUACACCUAUUUUAAAUUUUCAGGAUGCAUUUUCUUCAGGCAGAGAUGCUAGCUCAGUCCAGGGCGUUUGCAGUGUUGAGUGCUGCGUUUAUUUGGUUUUCCUUCGGGUAAUUUGUGCAAUCUAAUGCUCCCCUUGCUUAAUUUCGCUGUGUAAAUCCACUCCUGCAAAGCACUUUUGCGUAAUUCCCAGGUGGUCUUCUUUGCUGGAGUCUUUCUUUGUACCUAAGUCCCCAUUUUCACCUGCUGGGCACCUCCUCAAGGCCAGCAGACAAAUCUGCCAUCUUCAGCAGCCCGGGAGGCUGAGUCCACCCGGACUCCAGGCCUUACUCCCUAGAUGGGUAGAGUGCUUUCCACCGGGACUCCCCGCCUUCCCCCUGCUGCUUCUACACAAGCAGACCGACUUCCCUGGAGGCUCAGCUUCCUCACCCCGGACAUCAAGACGAGGACAGCUGUGCACCCCUCUGCCAGGCAUGUGUGAGGACAGG